rnacentral:rRNA from 1 species
AGUGAACGCUGGCGGUAGACCUAACACAUGCAAGUCGAACGGCAGCACAGUAAGAGCUUGCUCUUACGGGUGGCGAGUGGCGGACGGGUGAGGAAUACAUCGGAAUCUACUUUUUCGUGGGGAAUAACGUAGGGAAACUUACGCUAAUACCGCAUACGACCUACGGGUGAAAGCAGGGGAUCUUCGGACCUUGCGCGAUUGAAUGAGCCGAUGUCGGAUUAGCUAGUUGGCGGGGUAAAGGCCCACCAAGGCGACGAUCCGUAGCUGGUCUGAGAGGAUGAUCAGCCACACUGGAACUGAGACACGGUCCAGACUCCUACGGGAGGCAGCAGUGGGGAAUAUUGGACAAUGGGCGCAAGCCUGAUCCAGCCAUACCGCGUGGGUGAAGAAGGCCUUCGGGUUGUAAAGCCCUUUUGUUGGGAAAGAAAAGCAGCAGGUUAAUACCCCGCUGUUCUGACGGUACCCAAAGAAUAAGCACCGGCUAACUUCGUG